rnacentral:rRNA from 1 species
ACGUGAUCUGAGUUCAGACCGGAGCAAUCCAGGUCAGUUUCUAUCUAUAAAAAGUUUUUUUCAGUACGAAAGGACCAAAAAAACAUGGCCAAUGCACAAUGUAAGCCAUUCCUAAUAAACUAUGAAUUUUAACUUAAUAGUUAAUUAGAUUAGCUCAUUACUUUAGAAAAAAGUA